rnacentral:rRNA from 1 species
AUUGAACGCUGGCGGCAGGCCUAACACAUGCAAGUCGAACGAGUGGCGGACGGGUGAGGAAUGUCUGGGAAACUGCCUGCUGGAGGGGGAUAACUACUGGAAACGGUAGCUAAUACCGCAUACCAUCAGAUGUGCCCAGAUUGGAGUAGCUUGUUGGUGGGGUAAAGGCUCACCAAGGGGACGAUCCCUAGCUGGUCUGAGAGGAUGACCAGCCACCGGGGAACGGAGACACGGUCCAUACUCCUACGGGAGGCAGCAGUGGGGAUCAUUGCACAGUGGGCGGAAGCCUGAUUCAGCCAUGCCGCGUGUAUGAAGAAGGCCUUCGGGUUGUAAAGUACGUUCAGCGGGGAGGCGUUACCCGCAGAAGAAGCACCGGCUAACUCCGUGCCAGCCGCCGCGGUAAUAC